GAGCAAUAACAGGUCUGUGAUGCCCUUAGAGUUCGGGGCCGCACGCGCGCUACACUGACCGGAUCAGCGUGUGCUCUCCUUGGCCGACAGGUCCGGGAAACCCGUUGAACCUAAAUGAAUUCCACCAUCCACACACUGUAAUAGCUCCAGCAACUCCACUGUAAGCAAGAGG
rnacentral:ncRNA from 1 species